CAACUUGCCACUUUCCAAGUUUUAAUCUGUGUUGUAGGUUUAUUAUACUGUAGACAAGUUUUUUUUUGGGAACUGCAGGCCUAUUUCGAUCGCUACUGUACAGUCAAUGGCGGCAUGGCAGCGAGUACGCGUAUUGGAACUUGGAAGUGGAUGCAUGUGUGACGUGAUGUGGCGUUGCAUGUGGGAGGCCCCGUUGGUAAUGUAGUCCUUCAACAAUCUGUUAUGUCCAACCAGAACUUAACCAUUUUCAUGGUAUACUUAAUUGCUUGUCGGUGGAUUGUCACUUGGCAUCAUUUGAAUGGUAUGGUCCAUAUCAGCAGUGUGCUAAUGAUGCACUUCUUAAAAACACCAAUCCCUCAGAAAAUAUUCUAAUUGAAAUUAUGGAAAUGUCUGCCAUUCAUGGAGAACUGCACAAUGAUGGGUUCAUAUAAACAAGCUUGAAUUAACAAACCAACAGUAUUUUUGGACUUGGCAGUAUGAAAUAUCUUCUCUUGGAAGUUUGAGUCUAUGGAUUUGUUUGAGAUGAGCCUUGAGGCAGGAAGCUUUUCCUGCUUCUUACGAAAAGGGACAUUUGAUGCCUUAAUGUCUUAUACCAACCAAGUAUCAUUGCAAAGAUAUUUAAAAUAUAAAUCAAUAUAGAUUAUACUCUGAGUGAUGGUGACAUGGUAAAAAGAGAGAGAGCAGUAUGGACAUUUACUGCAUCAUUUACUUCUAUUAUUUAUAUCUUCAAGGCAUCUUAUUAACUUCUAUUGGUUUUAUUUGUGGAAAGAAUAUCUUGAGUAGGAGAAUUAGAUCACAAUUGACUAGAUGUUUUACUAUUUUAAAUGAGUUUGUUUAUCUAUUUCACAAAGAGUUUGUCACUUAAUUAUGGUCUGUUUCUGUAUUGUAGGUAGAACAAUCGCAAUGUCGUGGUAGUAAUUGCGAGAGAUAUGCCAAUAGGGUUUCCCUGUUUUCAAUUCGCAAUCGUAAUGGAUUCGAAGAGGAUAUUGAUGGAGUUUUGGUAUUAAAAAAGGGUAAGUACAUGUUAGUUGGAAGGGUAACCGAAGAGUUCCGGAUCUGUUUACUAUCGCACAUGUUAUGGUAUUUUUACAAAAUCAUAGAAGUGCUUAUCUGGGCCGCAUUGUUUUCUGUGUCUCGGUUUCCCCUUGACUUAUAUUAUUUUCUUUAACCCUUUGGUGCGUGUAAAACUGAAGGCUAAAAGAAGAAGAAUGAUUCAAAAAUAGUGGAAAAGAAUCAUAAAAGAAUUAUACUCGUUUAGGUCAUCCAAGGAAAUAAGAAAGAGUAUUAACUCGGCGCAGUCUUCGAUUCCAUUUUUUUAAAAGCUGUUUUUACUGUGCAUGGGAAUUUUUUGGUCUAGACGUUAUAGGUGCCUUAAAGGCACUGAAGGUUUCGUUAGAUGUCAUAAUCCCCAACAAAAAGGGAACGCUGAAAAUCCCAGGUGGCGAUGGGAAUUAGUGGCAAUGUUACGGUGUAGAUAACUUUAGAGAGUGUGACGUUAGCUGAUGUAAACCGCACCAGCUGUGCUAUUGCCGAGUCUGUCUUAUUUGCAGCCUAGCAGGAAAAGGUUGUGAGGGUAGCAGAAGAAGAGGAAAUUGCAGUAAACCCGGUUUUGAAAGAAGCCAAACAUUCUGAUGAUAUGGGAGCCCAGCCUGUGGAAACAAAAACCCCAUGUUUCAGAUAAUUUAUAUCGACAUCAGGAAAGACCAAAGGAACCCAUCGUUCCUCAGCUAUUUCUGAGGACUACUGUCACCGAAAGAAAAUCACCUCGCUUAUAGACUCGGAAGGUGAAAGCGAGACCCAAAAAUUUGCAACAACGAAGCAAAUACGCUUAAGACGAUUUUAGGUACUCCACUGUUACAGACCACAAUGUGUAAAUGCGUCAAGCGUCACAACAUGCCCAAAAAAAUUAUACGGAGUUAGUUAUUUCUCCCCUAGAUGUCUUGAAAAUAUAUGGGAAAUGUCAGCUGUCCAGUCGGCUGUUCCAUUUCGCGUGGCUUCAGACUGAGGAUGGCUGCUGAAACGAACGUGUCUCUUUUGGGGAUUUUACCACCGAUUCCGUGUGUUUUCAGUUUCAUCUUGUGAAUUCCAUCAAUGCAGAGUUGUUCAAGGAGGAACAUGGCUUGGCUUUGCUAUCACGUUUUUCAUCUCCGUAAGUCUGGUAUACCCAUUUUGUUUCAAAGGUCUUUGGGAUUUACCUGAUGUACUGUCGUGGCCACAAAAUCAUUCAAUGACUUGGUUCAAUCCAGGUCUUGGCUUUUUCAAUAGUGGUUUAUAGUUUUAAUUUGUAGAGAUCCUGGAGGCACCUGAUGUGUUUCAUUGGUGUUGGAGUCACUCGGUGACAGAAGAGAAUGCCACUAGUGUUAUGUUGUCAGUGUAAAUAAAACACAUCCAGUAUCA
rnacentral:lncRNA from 1 species